UCAGGAAGCUUCCCACCAAGUUUGGAGUCAUCGCACGAAUCCCCUCAGACUAGUUCGUUCAAAUACGAUGUGUGUAAAGUGGAAAAAAUGG